UGCAUCGAUGAAGAACGCAGCGAAAUGCGAUAAGUAAUGUGAAUUGCAGAAUUCAGUGAAUCAUCGAAUCUUUGAACGCACAUUGCGCCCGCCAGCAUUCUGGCGGGCAUGCCUGUUCGAGCGUCAUUUCAACCCUCGACUUCCCUUUGGGGAAAUCGGCGUUGGGGACCGGCCGUAUACCGCCGGCCCCGAAAUGAAGUGGCGGCCCGUCCGCGGCGACCUCUGCGUAGUAAUCCAACUCGCACCGGAACCCCGACGUGGCCACGCCGUAAAACCCCCGACUUCUGAACGUUGACCUCGGAUCAGGUAGGAAUACCCGCUGAACUUAAGCAUAUCAAUAAGCGGAGGAA
rnacentral:rRNA from 1 species